AGCAACCCAGAGGUUCUUCGGGGUGAAGCAGAUCUGUUCCCACUUGUCUGCAAGCAAUUGGCUUUCUCCUUUCUUCGUUCUGCCAAGGAAAUGAAUGUGAUGAUGUGAUGGCUGGAACGUUGGCAGUCAUCUUAGACCAGGAACUGAAAACGGCUUGAAGAGAAAUGUGGAGCAAAGAGAUUGAAGGAACCUGGAUCCCAUACUGACCUGGCACUAUCUCCUGCAGACUUGUUUUUCACAAGAGAGGAAUAAACGUCUAUCUUUCUUAA